rnacentral:rRNA from 1 species
UACAGAGGGGGCAAGCGUUGUUCGGAAUUACUGGGCGUAAAGGGCGCGUAGGCGGCCCGCUAAGUCGAACGUGAAAUCCCCGAGCUCAACUCGGGAACUGCGUCCGAUACUGGCGGGCUUGAAUCCGGGAGAGGGAUGCGGAAUUCCAGGUGUAGCGGUGAAAUGCGUAGAUAUCUGGAGGAACACCGGUGGCGAAAGCGGCAUCCUGGACCGGCAUUGACGCUGAGGCGCGAAAGCUAGGGGAGCAAACGGG